UACGUAGGGUGCGAGCGUUAAUCGGAAUUACUGGGCGUAAAGCGUGCGCAGGCGGUUUUGCAAGCCGGAUGUGAAAUCCCCGGGCUCAACCUGGGAAGUGCACUCGAAACUGGAUGGCUAGAGUCCUGGAGAGGAAGGUGGAAUGCUUGGUGUAGAGGUGAAAUUCGUAGAUAUCAAGCGGAACACCGGUGGCGAAGGCGGCCUUCUGGACAGUGACUGACGCUGAGACGCGAAAGCGUGGGGAGCAAACAGG
rnacentral:rRNA from 1 species